rnacentral:lncRNA from 1 species
UAGCGUUCCUUCUCGGCGUCCUCAUGACACUUUACAGCUGCAUUUGUAUUUACAUGGGAUCCGUCACCAGGGCUAUGAUCCUCGUAUACUCAGCAGCUGCUGGCCCAUGUAUAGGUUUGAUGCUUCUGGCGGUAGGAUUCCCAUUUGUACAUUCCAAGGGUGCCGGGAUUUCAACUCUACUCUUCUUCGCCAUUCAGCUGUACCUCCUAUGGCAAAGAAUAGACAAGAAAAUGUUGCCGCAGCGUAUGCCAGUAACGCUUCAGUACUGUCCAGGGAACACCACCUACGCACAGAAAAGAUUGAAUGAUACAUACACUUGGAGCAA